UGGUGGCAGAGCAACUUUGGCAUGAGGCUCAUCAGAAGAGGACUCAUCCUCACUGCUAGAUUCAUCAACAAGUGGUUUUGUAGCCUUGACACCUUUCUUGGCUGCACCUUUAACAUUCAACUCUUCAUCACCAGAUUCAUCAUCUGAAGAAUCUGAACUGCUAUUCUCCUUGCCUUUUGUACCAGAAGCACCAACAGAGCCAUUUUUUGCGGCUGUUAGCUGCUUCUUCAAAAGAAGAGUAGCUUUGGGGGGAGCCUCUUCUUCUGAAGAGGAUUCUUCACUACUAGAUUCUUGGACAGGUGGUUUUCUUGCCUUUUGUUCCUUUGUGGAUACAACUUUGGCCUUCAGUUCUUCCUCAGAAGAAGAGUCAUUAGAACUACUGGACUCCUCUUUCUUCUUUUUAUGAGUCUUAACUUCAACCUUUUCUUUCUUAAGGGCAUGUUUUACUCCCUCAUCUAUCUUCUGUUUCUUUGCACUAACAAGCUUCUCUAUUGCUUCUUCAGCUUCUCUCUUACCUUUCUUUGC
rnacentral:misc_RNA from 1 species